rnacentral:rRNA from 1 species
GGAAUCUUCCACAAUGGGCGAAAGCCUGAUGGAGCAACGCCGCGUGUGUGAUGAAGGCUUUCGGGUCGUAAAGCACUGUUGUAUGGGAAGAACAGCUAGAAUAGGAAAUGAUUUUAGUUUGACGGUACCAUACCAGAAAGGGACGGCUAAAUACGUGCAAG